GGAUUUGCCGCAAAUGCCAAAGUGGUCAUUUGUUAGUAGCCUACUGGCUUUCCAAAUUCUGGUUUAGGUGGACUUUUCAAGAUUUUUUUCUGAUUUACUGUGGACAUUCUGUUUUGGUGGACCCAAAAAGUCCACGUAAAAAUAAACGCACAGAACACCUUUUAGCUGGACGUAAACGUAUCCGAAAGAACAAGUCUGUUUCGGUGGACUCAAAAAUUGUCCACCUUAGGCGCCAUCUAUCUCUAAACUAAAAAAUUUGAUGGUUCGUAGUUCCAAUAUCUGCCACAGACGGCGCCACCAUCGGCUGGCUCUGUGUUGAAGCUCGGAAACGCACGCCUUGAUCAGCGCGGGCUAGCGCGGGCAUGCAGCAAAAACGUAACAUGAUAUGAUUUAUAGUGUGGUCUGUGGAAUGUGAAGCGAUCAAAAUAGACGUUUGUUUUAUUUUUAAAAAAGUGUAAAAAUAAAUUAAUUAUAUUAUGUAUCUUAGAAACCCGUGAAUUAGAGUAUGAUGAAGUUUUGUGUAGUUGCAACAACACUGUUUUUUGUUGCGGUGUUAUCGGCGCGGCACGGCUCACCACGUGGCGGUGUCAGUGUUGGGAUUUGGAAGAGAUAAAGCUUUGGGUGGUACUAAUUUGUGUUUUUUUUUGUGCUGGGAGCUUUUUGAAGUCUGUGAGGUAGCUUGGAUGUUCAGGCCACUUUGAUAGUCCAAGAUGCUGUCUGGUACUAAUGUACGCAAGAAGCGACCAGCAGCUGUUACUUCUGGACGAAGGAGGAAAGUGGCGAAAACUGUUCAGGAUCUCUAUUUUGUGGAAAGAAUAUUAGCCCACCAGUGGAAAGACGGCAACAUGAUGUACCUCAUCAAGUGGCAAGGUUUCAGGGAAUGGGGCUAAAGAUCCCGAGAUACCGGUGACAUGGAACAUUUACGGUGCGACGCCGCGAGAAAGAAGCCAUCUAGCUUCCAAAGAUAAUCCACUUCUACU
rnacentral:lncRNA from 1 species